UACGUAGGGGGCUAGCGUUGUCCGGAAUCAUUGGGCGUAAAGCGCGUGUAGGCGGCCCGGUAAGUCCGCUGUGAAAGUCGGGGGCUCAACCCUCGAAAGCCGGUGGAUACUGUCGGGCUAGAGUGCGGGAGAGGCGAGUGGAAUUCCUGGUGUAGCGGUGAAAUGCGCAGAUAUCAGGAGGAACACCGAUUGCGAAGGCAGCUCGCUGGAACGUAACUGACGCUGAGAACGCGAAAGCGUGGGGGAGCAAACAGG
rnacentral:rRNA from 1 species